GAUGAACGCUGGCGGCGUGUCUAAUACAUGCCAGUCGAGCGAACGGACGAGAAGCUUGCUUUUCUGAUGUUAGCGGCGGACGGGUGAGUAACACGUGGAUAACCUACCUAUAAGACUGGGAUAACUUCGGGAAACCGGAGCUAAUACCGGAUAAUAUUUUGAACCGCAUGGUUCAAAAGUGAAAGACGGUCUUGCUGUCACUUAUAGAUGGAUCCGCGCUGCAUUAGCUAGUUGGUAAGGUAACGGCUUACCAAGGCAACGAUGCAUAGCCGACCUGAGAGGGUGAUCGGCCACACUGGAACUGAGACACGGUCCAGACUCCUACGGGAGGCAGCAGUAGGGAAUCUUCCGCAAUGGGCGAAAGCCUGACGGAGCAACGCCGCGUGAGUGAUGAAGGUCUUCGGAUCGUAAAACUCUGUUAUUAGGGAAGAACAUAUGUGUAAGUAACUGUGCACAUCUUGACGGUACCUAAUCAGAAAGCCACGGCUAACUACGUG
rnacentral:rRNA from 1 species